UGUAUCCUCGGGCAGAGGCCCCGAGCCGGUCUUGGGGAGCAGAGCGGAGUGGGGGUGCCAGCCGCCCGCUCCGGCUCCCGCGCAGGCCUCAGUCAGUGUGAAUGUUACUGCAAGGCCAAGCAGAAACCAUGGAGCCGGCCGACAUGGCGACAGCAAAGGGACAGAGAGAACCUAUGCGUUACGGCUGAUGGGCUGAGUUCACUCUGAUAAUGUGCAAAGGCAGUGGGACUGCUCAGUAAAAGCCUUAUGGCGACUCACGGUAAGUCCUUUGCGUGUGACCUGGACAUCACGUUCUUAUGUCCAAGUGCAUGUAAAUGCCCCCUUUCU